rnacentral:rRNA from 1 species
CCUACGGGAGGCAGCAGUGAGGAAUAUUGGUCAAUGGGCGAGAGCCUGAACCAGCCAAGUCGCGUGAGGGAGUACUGCCCUAUGGGUUGUAAACCUCUUUUGUCGGGGAGCAAAAGCCGGACGUGUCCGGCUGUGAGAGUACCCGAAGAAAAAGCAUCGGCUAACUCCGUGCCAGCAGCCGCGGUAAUACGGAGGAUGCGAGCGUUAUCCGGAUUUAUUGGGUUUAAAGGGUGCGCAGGCGGAUUUUUAAGUCAGCGGUAAAAUCGUGGGGCUCAACCCAAUCCAGCCGUUGAACCUGGGGAUCUAGAGUGUGCGAGAGGUAUGCGGAAUGCGUGGUGUAGCGGUGAAAUGCAUAGAUAUCACGCAGAACCCCGAUUGCGAAGGCAGCAUACCGGUGCACAACUGACGCUCAGGCACGAAAGCGUGGGUAUCGAACAGGAUUAGAUACCCGGGUAGUC